rnacentral:rRNA from 1 species
AACGAACGCUGGCGGCAGGCUUAACACAUGCAAGUCGAGCGAGACCUUCGGGUCUAGCGGCGGACGGGUGAGUAACGCGUGGGAACGUGCCCUUCUCUACGGAAUAGCCCCGGGAAACUGGGAGUAAUACCGUAUACGCCCUUUGGGGGAAAGAUUUAUCGGGGAAGGAUCGGCCCGCGUUGGAUUAGGUAGUUGGUGGGGUAAUGGCCCACCAAGCCGACGAUCCAUAGCUGGUUUGAGAGGAUGAUCAGCCACACUGGGACUGAGACACGGCCCAGACUCCUACGGGAGGCAGCAGUGGGGAAUCUUAGACAAUGGGGGCAACCCUGAUCGAGCCAUGCCGCGUGAGUGAUGAAGGCCUUAGGGUUGUAAAGCUCUUUCAGCUGGGAAGAUAAUGACGGUACCAUCAGAAGAAGCCCCGGCUAACUCCGUG